UAAACGUCCCAGUUCGGAUUGCAGUCUGCAACUCGAGUGCAUGAAGCUGGAAUCGCUAGUAAUCGCGGAUCAGAAUGCCGCGGUGAAUACGUUCCCGGGCCUUGUACACACCGCCCGUCACACCAUGGGAGCCGGUAAUACCCGAAGUCAGUAGUCCAACCACGUGAGGACGCUGCCGAAGGUAGGAUUGGCGACUGGGGUGAAGUCGUAACAAGGUAUC
rnacentral:rRNA from 1 species